GAUGAACGCUGGCGGCGUGCCUAAUACAUGCAAGUCGAGCGAACAGAUGAGGAGCUUGCUCCUCUGACGUUAGCGGCGGACGGGUGAGUAACACGUGGAUGACCUACCUAUAAGACUGGGAUAACUUCGGGAAACCGGAGCUAAUACCGGAUAAUAUAUUGAACCGCAUGGUUCAAUAGUGAAAGACGGUUUUGCUGUCACUUAUAGAUGGAUCCGCGCCGCAUUAGCUAGUUGGUAAGGUAACGGCUUACCAAGGCAACGAUGCGUAGCCGACCUGAGAGGGGGAUCGGCCACACUGGAACUGAGACACGGCCCAGACUCCUACGGGAGGCAGCAGUGGGGAAUCUUCCGCAAUGGGCGAAAGCCUGACGGAGCAACGCCGCGGGAGUGAUGAAGGUCUUCGGAUCGUAAAACUCUGUUAUUAGGGAAAAACAAAUGUGUAAGUAACUAUGCACGUCUUGACGGUACCUAAUCAGAAAGCCACGGCUAACUACGGG
rnacentral:rRNA from 1 species